rnacentral:rRNA from 1 species
CAAAGGAGCAAUCCGCUGAAAGAUGGGCUCGCGUCCGAUUAGAUAGUUGGCGGGGUAACGGCCCACCAAGUCGACGAUCGGUAGCCGGACUGAGAGGUUGAACGGCCACAUUGGGACUGAGACACGGCCCAGACUCCUACGGGAGGCAGCAGUGGGGAAUAUUGCACAAUGGGGGAAACCCUGAUGCAGCGACGCCGCGUGAGGGAAGAAGGUUUUCGGAUUGUAAACCUCUGUCUUUGGUGACGAAAGAUGACGGUAGCCAAAGAGGAAGCUACGGCUAACUACGUGCCAGCAGCCGCGGUAAUACGUAGGUGGCAAGCGUUGUCCGGAAUUACUGGGUGUAAAGGGAGCGUAGGCGGGAAGACAAGUUGAAUGUUUAAACUAUCGGCUCAACCGAUAAUCGCGUUCAAAACUGUUUUUCUUGAGUGAAGUAGAGGCAGGCGGAAUUCCUAGUGUAGCGGUGAAAUGCGUAGAUAUUAGGAGGAACACCAGUGGCGAAGGCGGCCUGCUGGGCUUUAACUGACGCUGAGGCUCGAAAGCGUGGGUAGCAAACAGGAUUAGAUACCCUGGUAGUCCACGCUGUAAACGAUGAUUACUAGGUGUGGGGGGACUGACCCCUUCC